rnacentral:rRNA from 1 species
UACGGAGGAUCCGAGCGUUGUCCGGAUUUAUUGGGUUUAAAGGGUGCGUAGGCGGUUUUAUAAGUCAGUGGUUAAAGACUCUCGCUCAACGAGAGGGAUGCCAUUGAUACUGUAGAACUUGAGUACUGUAGAGGUAGGCGGAAUUGGUAGUGUAGCGGUGAAAUGCAUAGAUACUACCAGGAACACCGAUUGCGAAGGCAGCUUACUGGAGAGUAACUGACGCUGAGGCACGGAAAGCGUGGGGAGCAAAC